UUACCAGUCAGUCUCUGGCUAUACUACAGGACACAGCAGUUCCUGGGUAUAGUCAGAGGCUGACUGCAAA
rfam:Mesocricetus auratus contig196494, whole genome shotgun sequence.